GAAUGCACUGAUCUCAUCUGAUCUCAGAAGCUAAGC
rnacentral:rRNA from 1 species